AAUCAACGCUGGCGGCGUGCCUCAGACAUGCAAGUCGAACGCGAAAGUUUCCUUCGGGGAACAAGUAGAGUGGCGCACGGGUGAGUAACACGUAGGUAAUCUACCUUUGGAUGGGGAAUAACAAAUCGGAAACGGUUGCUAAUACCGCAUAAUGCAGCGGCACCUAAUGGUGACAGUUGUUAAAGCGGGGGAUCGAAAGACCUCGCGUCUGAAGAGGAGCCUGCGGCGGAUUAGCUAGUUGGUAAGGUAAUGGCUUACCAAGGCUACGAUCCGUAACCGGCCUGAGAGGGCGGUCGGUCACACUGACACUGACAUACGGGUCAGACUCCUAC
rnacentral:rRNA from 1 species